rnacentral:lncRNA from 1 species
AGAAGAUCCACAUUGUUUCCUCUUCUUUCGGCACCAACGUUCCCAUGCCUAAGUCAGUGAAUGGUACAGUAAAAUCAACAUAUAAAGAUCUGUUCCAUGUGAUUGUCGUAUCUCCAACAACUGCGGAUGGACUUGGUAAACAAGUUCGUUAUAUGUCCCAGCUAUAUUUCCAUUGGCAUCCUCAAAUGGAAUAAACUCGUAAUGCACUUUAUACGGCAAGGCUUCGAUUACGGCUUUGAACACGUCUAUAUAUACAAAAGCCAGUGACAUAAGUUUUGUUGGUUUGAAGAUCAUGAUGCACACCUACGGGUUCCUUGAAUCCCAAUUUCACUGGAGCACCAAUUCUCAAUUUUAUUUCAUUACUCAAUCGCCUUUUGGAACUUUUCAUGAUUGCUUUUGAUCUCGGGGCCACACGAUUCUUUUCGGAUCAUAGGUAGAAAGUAAAUUACUUCUUCUGUCGUUAAGAAGGUUAACUCUUUUGUGGUUCUUUCUCUGCUAGGCCAAAUUUUAAUCCUUCUCUCCUCUUUUCCUAUCACAUUUACCAUCCCAAAAUAAUGCACCUGAAAUUAGCUUCCCAUUUAAGAAUUGAAUUUCACCACUUAAACCCUUGGAUCUCUUUUGCAAUAUUUCUCUGAGAAGCAUAACUCCAUGUUGGGAGGAUCUUGUAAAAUUUUUAAUCUUUGCCCUUUCAACUGCUUCAGCUAGAGCCCAAGUCGCAACAUCUUCAAGGCUCCAUAGAUGCAAUGCGAUACGGAUGGAUAAGAACCCAAUUCAUCUCAAAAGGAUUUCAAAUUUGAGUAUUAUUGACAGAUGGUCUACUGUCCUUGUUUGUGUUCCGCGAUGGUCCUCCGAAUCUGAAAAAUACAGGUGAGGUUACCAAGAGAGAAUUGAUCCUGCAGCUUCAGCAGGGGUGUCAUCAUAGAUGACACUGUUAGCAAGGGCUAGUGUGAGAGCAUUCAACAACCAAGCCAUCACCAUAUAUCGUUGUAGCGGUGCCAUAAUGAGUAUUUGGGAUCUUUAUCAGAGAGAGAUUUGAUGGUGCCAUCAACAAAUCCUAAUUUGUUGUUGGCACUAAGACUAAUGGUGAUGGUGCGGCACCACGAGCUGUAGUUAUCUCCAUCGAGAAGUUAGGCAACAAUAACAAGUCCUGGAUGAUCCGAGGACAAGAAGUAAGGAUCAGUAUGAUCCAUGGGUUGUGUGGGAGAGGGUUUGCUUUCUGUGUUGGAGGUUUUGGUCUCCGUUUGGAAGGUUUGGCUAGUGUCACCUAUGGAGGCUUAGACAACUAGGGUUUGUAAAAUUGAAGACUGUUGAGAAGAAAAUUUCUCCGUUGUAUUGAUAGAGCCAAAAGGCUAAGUAUUUAUAGAAAGAGUUGCAAACCCUACAAGGAAUACUAGGUUACUUGGAGUCUACUCCUAAAUCAAUUACAAUCAAUUACAAUCUAUACAUAAAAGGAAACUGAAUAACUUCCUGAUUUCCAACAAUACAAGUCGAGAUGGUGGUCGAUAUGUGCUUGACCACAUAUUCACCGGUUAUAAUUGCACUUCUCUAAUUUGCAAUUAACCUCUCUAGAGAAUUCGUGUACAUAGCAG